rnacentral:lncRNA from 1 species
AACAAAGUGGGCUUUGUACACUUGCUGGUGCCAUUUGUGGCAGAGAAGGACUUUCUCGGAUUGCUUUGGGAUGAUGAAGAGCGUGUCUCUCAUCCAAAAACUGAAAUGAUACCUUCAGGUGUUCCAUACUCCAAAGAGUUAAAACGGAUCAGUAAAUCAGUGGAGGAGAAGCAGCAUCCCCCUGAUGGGAUUGAAACCCAGUGGGAGGGAGGACUUUGCAACCUGAGAGGCUGUGUCAGACUUCCUGAGCUGCAGAGUUAAGGCAUAUCACCUCUUUUCCCCAUUCCAGAGGUAAGUGACUGCUGCAGUUGGGGUGAAGGGGUAGUACUUAAGCGAUGAACGUCUUUGAUACCUAGCCCAGGGUUUAGCACAUGGUGGCCCAUGAAUGCUCGUUGAAGGAAUGGAGAGAAAGAGAGAGAGAAUAUGCGGGAGUCAGUGACUGUCUUUACUGCCUUUCUGCCCUUUGAGGCAGUUCUUACUCUUCUUCCUCCCUCCCCAUGAGCAAACCAGGGGUCUGUAUGGGAACUGGGUCCACUAAACUUUGUUUUGCAUGAGCUGCUGGGCUUUCCAGCAAGUUCACAAGUUGCCAGUGUGGUUUCAUACAAAGGCUUCACUCACAUAUAUUAAUUCACCCUUAACAUACAGGAAGACACCAGCAAGAUUUUAUAGUGUGUGGAGGGUGUUUUGAACCAGGAACCAGAUUCCCAGUUUCCCUUGCACCUACUCUUUCCCUUUGAAGUCAACAGGAGCCCUGCUCAGGGUGUCUAGAGAGAAACAAGAAUCUGGUCUAAGUGAAUUGUUAGGAAAAUGCAUUAAAGUACUAAAGUAAGAUUAUGUUACCCAGAAAAAAUACACUGUGGCCAACAGAAACUGCAAUCACAGCCAUCUGAAGGGGGUCCUGUGGUCAGAGAAAAGAAGAAAACAUAUUUUAAAAAUUCAAUUAAUGUGUUCAGUUGCCUCAAAGGAAAUAAAGGCCCAUUGUCUUUUAUGUGUUUAAAAUAUGAAUCGCCAAUUAAUGAUGAGAUUGGCAAAUUGCUCUACAAUUAAAAACAUAGAAAUGUUGUUUAAGGCUAUUAGAAUAAUGGUCAUA